rnacentral:piRNA from 1 species
CGCACUGUAUACAUGAUAAAUAAAUC